rnacentral:rRNA from 1 species
UCGGUAAGAGAUCAGCUUGUACAGUAUCAGUUAGUUGGUGGGGUAAUGGCUUACCAAGACUAUGACGCUUAACUGGUUUGAGAGGAUGAUCAGUCACACUGGAACUGAGACACGGUCCAGACUCCUACGGGAGGCAGCAGUGGGGAAUAUUGCACAAUGGACGAAAGUCUGAUGCAGCAACGCCGCGUGGAGGAUGACACAUUUCGGUGCGUAAACUCCUUUUAUAUGAGAAGAUAAUGACGGUAUCAUAUGAAUAAGCACCGGCUAACUCCGUGCCAGCAGCCGCGGUAAUACGGGGGGUGCAAGCGUUACUCGGAAUCACUGGGCGUAAAGAGCAUGUAGGCGGAUUGAUAAGUUUGAAGUGAAAUCCUAUAGCUUAACUAUAGAACUGCUUUGAAAACUGUUAAUCUAGAAUGUGGGAGAGGUAGAUGGAAUUUCUGGUGUAGGGGUAAAAUCCGUAGAGAUCAGAAGGAAUACCGAUUGCGAAGGCGAUCUACUGGAACACUAUUGACGCUGAGAUGCGAAAGCGUGGGGAGCAAACGGGAUUAGAUACCCCGGUAGUCCACGCCCUAAACGAUGCACACUAGUUGUUGUGAGGCUAGACCUUGCAGUAAUGCAGUUAACACAU